UCCCCGGCUCAGUGCUCCGGCGACAACGGAGGUGGGAGGUGCGCGUCGCAGCCGGUGGGUGACUCUUUACUACGUGUUUCUCCGCAGUCCGCACGUGGCCGGUACUCUCUGCCAAGCUAAUAACUUCCCCGUGGGUCGGGGCAACGUGUUAGCUAUUUGAGAACAUUGUGACAAGUGCGUGGCCCCGCUAAGGGUUAUAUAAGCUCUCCUCAGGUUGGCUUUCUCGCCACUUUGAAGACACCUUCAACAGGGGUGAUUACCACACAUUUUGCGGGCUAUUCAUGCCCGUGCCACCUCCUGGUUGGCUUGAUCUUAAUCAAUCGCCACACAUUUGUCGACUUACAGUUUAAUUCUACUGACUUUAAUGAGGAUUGACAUCUGCUGAAGUUGAUUAUAAAAGUUUUCUUUAAACAUAAUUUGGUUUAUAUCGCUUAAAGACUUAACAUCAGCGCGUGAUAUAGCCUAUAGUUCGAGACUGCACAACCUGUAUAUAUUAAACGUAAGGUGGAACUCCAGUUGGUUCAAUUAGCAGGAUCUGUGCGACCUGGCAACAGCAGUGUGUGGGCUUAGGCUCAACAGUCAACAAUCAGGAACAGAAGAGUAAAAUGUUGAAAAAGUUGACGUCGAUUUGGAAGCGUUAUAAGUACCGAAGUGUUCCCUGGCUUGCCUUCAACUUGCACAACAGACUCAGGCACUCAACCCAUGACCAUGCAUAUCAAAGAAGCCUUCACUUAUGAUUAUAUAUGUCAAGAAAGCCUACACUCAUCAAUAUUCAUGUCAAGAAACCUUUCAGAGCAAUUUCUGUCUUUGAAGUCUCCGUUUACUGACAAGCACCUACAGUAAACCUUCGCGACGCGAGAUACGGUGAACAACUUUCUUCGUCAAUCUUGCCAAAUCCAGACCUGUCAAAUCUUCCACCCGGUGUUUUUCAAGCCAGCUGAUGGACGCUGUACUUAAAGGAGUGAACCCACGUUUGCGUUCUGGGCUAUAAUAUCUAUAGCCUGUGACACCUCAUGUUUUCCAUAGUGAACCGUAUGUGACCCUGACGGAGUUGUAUAACCUGUGAAUCCUACUAUCAUUUAUUGUGAUGGAGAUCGUGGCCUGAAGUGAUCCCCUUUCCUUCAACAAUUUGAAUGAUAAGCUCAAAAAUUGACCUGAGUAUUAUCAUAAUUUUUCGUAAUUCCUGUCACUUAAACUGUUGCGGAAUAUGAAGUAAAUUUGCAACUACCAUUCACCGAGUUGAAUGGCCUGUUAUGACAACCUUGUUACCAUUAAUUGUAUUUUAAGACCUCAGUGAAGCUACCCCCUAUAAUACCACAAUUAAGAUACGUAUGAUUUAUGAUUGAACCCUCAAAAAUUACCAUACAGUGAAUUGUAUGGCUUUCAGUGACCCUUGCAUGCAUAGGCUAUGUAUACAUUGUAUUCGGUAGCCUGUAAUUUGCAAAAAAAAAAAACUACGGUACCAUACAUUGUGUUGCAUGACUUGUCUAAAAUCCUACAUGAUGCAUAUGCUAGUUUUAACGAACUCUCAACAAUGUCCCUGAAGAGCUGACAUGUACAAUGUAUAUUUUACAUUGCCUCUAGGUUUCACGCUACCAAUAGACUUGUACUUGAAACGGAAGUACAUUUAUGUAGAGAUGAGUUUCAAAAUUUGGUGAAUUUCAGUGACGAUAGUGCUAAAUUGUCAGUGUCCGAAUAUUGUGUGAAGCUUUUAUGCCAUAUUUUUUAUGUCCGAAGCGUUUGAUGUACCUGUUGUAACACUGAAUGUGAAACUUGUGCUGCUGGAAGACGAGUGCCGAGGGAGACUGAAAAUGAUUUUUGUCAGUCCUUUUUUUUCCUGGUAAGAGUAGCGUGAUGUUUUCAGUUAAUACUAGCGAAUAUAUAGCUUGGAAGAAGAAGAGAGGGAGUGUUAUCGCUUGUUAUAUUAAUGCACAUAAGGUAAAAGCAGAUUGAUUAUUGCUUGUAAUGCAACUGGAAAACCAGACACACACAGGCUGACAUUAUUCGGUGGUGAGAUAGUUAUAUUGACAAGGAAAUCAACAAGUGCAACAAUGCCACCACUUAAAAGACUGAGCAGUCUGAGGGAAAUAUGCGCAAUGUGUGUGUGGCAAUGGUUGUUGAACUGUGGGAGACACCAGGCAGUCUUCACCUCCCACUUCUCGGAACAGCGCAAGUAUCUGGUCUCUGCCCUCUCCCCACUCCUCCGUCAGCGGCUGCUCACCAUCAUCUUAAACAUGAACAACAACAAACUGUUUAUGGAAACCAAGUGCAAAUUGCUGCAGGCACUGGGAGACGACACCACACAAUGGGUCGACAUUACCCGUGGAGGGGCUGUCUUCUACGAUGAAAUGUUGUGCUUCUACAGCACCGUCGGUCUCGUGGGUAGCUUUAAUCUCACGCGGUUGGGGGCGGUUUGUGAUGCGAGGCUUAUAAGUGAUCAAAAAUACAUAUCUGCUGUAAAUAGCACAUUUUACUGGGCAUUAAAAAAGAUGCAUAACUUAAUAUGGAUUACUCUCGGUGGUAUUGCUGAUGACACCAUCCUGAAAAUCGUGGGCACAAAUUGCCCUCAACUGCAGCAUCUUGAUGUUUCAAGCUCUUUGAAGGUGGAUGACGAGGGCGUGGCAGCUUUGGUACUGAAGAACCCUCAAGAAGUGCUAGGGUUGAGUCCCCAGCAGGUUGGUCGUAAAGCACUAGUAACCAAUUCUUGCUGCACAACUCUUAACUUCGUGUGUGUGAGCAACACCCAGGUGAGUGCGAUGGGUGCUGCACUGCUACUCCACUGUGUCCCGGGCCUCACCUCCUUAGGGGGCUACAUUAACGCUUGCUCACUCACUAGCGUCAUUGAACUACUGCAGCCAGAAGAUGGUAUUACACAGUUCAAGUUAAACCAAUUGUGGGAUUUGGAUAUCUUGCCACGUGAAGCCUCUCUGCUUAGGGAAGUUUGUCAGAACAUAGCUGCAAUUACGACCAACGAAGCCUCUCUAGCCGCUUUGCACUUAGUCCUCCCUUUCGAAUCUCUCUCUGUUGAGGCUGACUUCAAGAACACUGUCGACUCUCUGUACAACUAUCUUGCAAUACGAGGAGAAGUAUUAAAACAACUGAUUAUCACCGACAGUAUAAAUUGUCCUCUCGACCUCAUGUGGUUGAUAGAGCUAACCCCAAACUUGGAACGUAUUGAAGCAACCUUAGAAGCCAAGCAAGAGAAUGUCAUACCAACAUGGAAUGAUCUUAGAGAGGCCUCAGUCACGGUUGCUUCUUCCAUCACAAUUGUGACCCUACUGACGCACACCCCUAAUCUGUGUGACCUUAACCUGACCUUCCUUGAGGGUGUGUAUAAUGAAGAGAGUUACAAGUGCAUCAACGACGAGUUGUUGCUGCUGAUAUUGAUGGCUGGUGGUUUGAAGAAAGUUGAAAAACUAAAGAUAGAUCAGUGCAUGAUCAGCCCAUACGGCUUGGACUUGCUCCUGCUGCACUGUCCGGACUUGCAGUAUUUGGCUCCGCUUGUGUGCUGGCCAAAUAUUACACAGGACGAAGUUGACAAACUGCAUGCCAAAGCAGCUCAGAAUAACUGGGUAUUGAAGAUAGUGAUGCGCUCAGACUGAGAAUGGACAGCGUGUGGCAGGCAGGUUGCCGUGGCGGUGACUUAGACUGGCAGGUGGUGCGUAGUCAGUUGACGGGAAGCCGGAAUCAGGUGGUACCGUGUUGUUUGAUAGGCUAUUGAUCCCUUAGUGCAGCCAUGUUUUAUUGUCUUUGUUAGAUGAGUAUACACGUACGAGUGAAGGCAGUACUUGCAUUUAAAUACUAAAGCACCAGUGGAGAGCAUGCCACCCUUCAAGAAGAUCUGCUCCUUGACGGAGAUAUGCACAGAGUGGGUGUGGCGGUGGCUGAACCACUGUCUCAACCACCAGGCGCCGCCCCGGGACCGUAUGCGUCAGCGCCAGUACGUCCUCUCAACCCUCAACCCAAACAUCCGCCAGCAGCUCCUUAACCGUAUCUUCAAUGUGGACACGAGAGACGUGAUGCUGGAUAGCAAGUGUAUGUUGCUAGAGAUGCUGGGGGACCGCAGCACCCAGUGGGUAGACCUCUCCCGCAGCGGCUUCGGUUAUAUAGACGAAGUUUUCCAAUUCUAUCGAACUCUCACCCUCGGCUUGCUAAUUAAUAUUACACGAUUAGGUUUGAUUUGCAAUGUUAAGUCAAAAUCUGAUUGUAAAUAUCUUUUAGAUAUUAAUAAUACCUUUUAUCGAGUGUUAAACCAGAUGCGCCAUCUACAAUGGGUUACUCUGACUGGAGUGGGCGAUCGUACCAUCUUAGCAACUCUAGGCGCCAACUGUUACCAGCUGGAGCACCUUGAUGUCUCUGAUUCUGUGAAAGUGGACGACGAAGCUGUGGCCGCUUUGCUGCUGAAGGACCCUCAGUCUGUGGAAGGUCUGAAUCUAAAGCAAGUUAUAGAACAAGAUUUGUCUAAGAAUCCUUGUUGUGAAACUCUGAGCUUAGUGUGCGUGUGUGGGACACAAGUAAGUCUUAAGAGUACCCUCUUCCUCCUGAGGUGUGUACCUGCGUUGACCUCCUUUGGUGGCGCCGUGGAAGAUGGAUCCUUAUGUAGUGUGAUUGAGCUGCUUCAACCAGACCAAGGGGUGACGAAAUUCAAGCUCAACAAAUUUUGGGACGCAAAGGUUUUACCGACUCAUGCUUCUCUACUAAAUGUGGCCUGCCCAAAAAUCACUUCUGUAACAACUUCUGUAUCUUCGUUGCCCUCUCUACAUUUUCUCUACCCCAUCACCUCAUUAACUGUCGAUCUCAACUAUCUCAACUGUCGCAAUUGUGCAAAUUACAUAUAUAAUUACCUUCAAGUACGAGGAGAGACCUUGAAGGACCUCCUUUUUACUAAUAGCUUGAACUGUUUCCUUGAUCUGGCUUGGUUGAUGGAGCUUACCCCGAACUUGGAACGUCUUGAAUCUGGCUUGUACAUAGAAGAAGGAUACGAGAUUCUCGGCUGGAAGUUACUGUGGGAUGCGUCAGUGACUGUGAACUCUUGUGAAGCUCUCCUAACACUGAUCUCCCACACCCCGAGUUUGAAGAACCUAAGCAUUAACUUCAUGCCGGAGCCUUACACGGAGACUUUCGAGUGCAUCAACGACGAACUUGUCAUCAAAAUCAUCUCCGCAGGAGCGCUCACACGGCUUCAGAAACUCAAGAUUGCCGAGUGUGCCAUAACUGUUAAAGGCCUUAAUUGGCUUUUCCUCCAUUGUUCUGAGUUGUCUUACAUAGCACCGCUUCUCUUCUGGAAGAAUAUAUCACAGGAUGAUAUACAGCAGUUGCACCUACAAGCAAAACAGAACAAUUGGGAACUGAAACUUGUCCUUCGUGAGUGAUCCUAAAUGGGGAAAGAUUCUAAUUAUUUUUAUUUUCUUUGGAUGGAAACUGUAUAGAUCUUGUGAGGAAAUUGACUUACUAUUGUCGCCAGCAACGGAUAGUUUGUGCACCUCAUACUCGUCAUGUGAGGAAAAGUGUAGUUUGUCCCUAACGUAAAGGUCAGCGAUACUGACUUUUCAGCAAGUAAUUAUCAAAGAAGGCACCAAGCCGGGAAGGCUAUGUAGCAAAACAUGGUUGUAGUUCCCAAUGUCGGACAAGAUUGGCUUGCGGAGGACUUGCCAGCUAAGGGUGCAAGGCUGUCCACAUGGUUACCCAACCAAAAUACUAGUCAAACCCUUACAAGCACACUUGUGCUAUGUAUAUACUUGUUUUAGCGAGAAGCGUGUAUCUAUAAAAAAAAUUAAUUCUCCUUUGCAAGGUAUUUGAACUGUGUUUUGGAAGUGUUCAGUACGUUCAACAAAUGGCACGUACCGAAAGAAGGCGUAGAAGCCACCUUUAUUCACAACUUGAAGCUCAGAUUUGACAGAACUAUAGUUAAAGAAAAACACACUAUAAACCCAGACCUAGUAGGUGAUGUAUAAAGGACUCUUGCUUCCACGCAGUCACUUAUUCUAGGUUAUAAAUCUGACCUUGUUCAGAUGCAAGCCAAGACAUACUAUCUUGCAGGACAGGUUUAAUGUUUACAGAUUGUGAUAUUUUAAUUUUCAUGUUAAGACUUUUGUUGUAUUGCAACCAAGUCUUUAUUUUAAAAUAGGGGUCAAUACGAAAGUUAAAUUAACAAGCGCCUUAACUUAUAAGCCAAAUAUUUUUAAUUGAAGGUUAACUAUAUUGUUCUGGGUUAGAAUGUAGUCAUACUUCUGAAUCGCUCAGCUAAAACAAACUAAAGUAGCAAAUGUAAUUAGUCGUAAAUGUUUGUAAUUACCUGUAAAUAUACGCAGAAAUCACAGUAGCGUGAUAUAUCAAAUGAACAAAUCCACAAGGGCAAUGAUGAGGGUUCGAAGUUCGAGAAAUUCGAACCAUGCACUGGAACAUCCAGUGCGUAGGUUCGAACCCUCAUCAUUGCCCUUGUGGAUUUGUUCAUUUAGCUGUAAAUAUGUUUGUGUUCAGACGCUAUGAUUUUUCCAAACACUGGUGUUUUAUGUAUAGCUGUAAGCCUUUUUUUAAUGCAAUAGGUCUGCAAUUGAUAGUAUACUGUAUAUAGUUUAGCAUUUUGUAUUACAUUAUACAGUAAAAUAGCAAAGAUUAAAA
rnacentral:misc_RNA from 1 species